UAUACUGCAGUCGUACCAGGUAGGUAUAGAUUGGUGCUUGCACUCGUGAUUUACAUUGUGAGUGAGUGGCGAACUGGUGAGUAACACGUGGGAAAUCCUGCCCAGAAGCGGGGGAUAACACUCUGGAAACAGAUGCUAAUACCGCAUAACAACUUGGACCGCAGGGUCCGAGUUUGAAAGAUGGCUUCGGCUAUCACUUUUGGAUGGUCCCGCGGCGUAUUAGCUAGAUGGUGGGGUAACGGCUCACCAUGGCAAUGAUACGUAGCCGACCUGAGAGGGUAAUCGGCCACAUUGGGACUGAGACACGGCCCAAACUCCUACGGGAGGCAGCAGUAGGGAAUCUUCCACAAUGGACGAAAGUCUGAUGGAGCAACGCCGCGUGAGUGAAGAAGGGUUUCGGCUCGUAAAACUCUGUUGUUAAAGAAGAACAUAUCUGAGAGUAACUGUUCAAGGAUUGACCGUAUUUAACCAGAAAGCCCCGGCUAACUACGUGCCAGCAGCCGCGGUAAUACGUAAGUGGCAAGCGUUGUCCCGAUUUAUUGGGCCUUAAGGCAACGCCAGGGGGUUUUUUAAGUCCGGAUGGGAAACCUUCGCUUCACCCGAAAAAUGGCAUCGGAACCUGGGAAACUUGAAUGCAAAAAAGGACAUGGAACCUCCUUGUUGUAGCGGUGAAAUGCGUAGAUAUAUGGAAAGAACCCAGUGGCGAAGGCGGCUGUCUGGUCUGUAACUGACGCUGAGGUCGAAAGUAUGGGUAGCAAACAGAUAAAAUCCCCUGGUAUCCCCUGCCCGUAAACGGAUGAUUGCAAGUGCUGAGGGGUUUCCGCCCUCCAGUGC
rnacentral:rRNA from 2 species